rnacentral:rRNA from 1 species
UUUUGGGGAAUCUUCCGCAAUGGGCGAAAGCCUGACGGAGCAAUACCGCGUGAGGGAGGAAGGCUCUUGGGUUGUAAACCUCUUUUCUCAGGGAAGAACACAAUGACGGUACCUGAGGAAUCAGCAUCGGCUAACUCCGUGCCAGCAGCCGCGGUAAUACGGAGGAUGCAAGCGUUAUCCGGAAUGAUUGGGCGUAAAGCGUCCGCAGGUGGCUGUGUAAGUCUGCUGUCAAAGAGCAAAGCUCAACUUUGUAAAGGCAGUGGAAACUACACGGCUAGAGUGCGUUCGGGGCAGAGGGAAUUCCUGGUGUAGCGGUGAAAUGCGUAGAGAUCAGGAAGAACACCGGUGGCGAAGGCGCUCUGCUAGGCCGCAACUGACACUGAGGGACGAAAGCUAGGGGAGCGAAUGGGAUUAGAUACCCCAGUAGUCCUAGCUGUAAACGAUGGAUACUAGGCGUGGCUUGUAUCGACCCGAGCCGUGCCGUAGCUAACGCGUUAAGUAUCCCGCCUGGGGAGUACGCACGCAAGUGUGAAACUCAAAGGAAUUGACGGGGGCCCGCACAAGCGGUGGAGUAUGUGGUUUAAUUCGAUGCAACGCGAAGAACCUUACCAAGGCUUGACAUGUCGCGAACUCUUCUGAAAGGAAGAGGUGCCUUCGGGAGCGCGAACACAGGUGGUGCAUGGCUGU